rnacentral:rRNA from 1 species
UUGAGUUUGAUCCUGGCUCAGGAUGAACGCUGGCGGCGUGCUUAACACAUGCAAGUCGAGCGAAGCAUGCAUGCGGAAGUUUUCGGAUGGAAGCAGAUAUGACUGAGCGGCGGACGGGUGAGUAACGCGUGGGUAACCUGCCUCAUACAGGGGGAUAACAGUUAGAAAUGACUGCUAAUACCGCAUAAGCGCACAGGACCGCAUGGUCAAGUGUGAAAAACUCCGGUGGUAUGAGAUGGACCCGCGUCUGAUUAGCUGGUUGGUGAGGUAACGGCCCACCAAGGCGACGAUCAGUAGCCGACCUGAGAGGGUGGCCGGCCACAUUGGGACUGAGACACGGCCCAAACUCCUACGGGAGGCAGCAGUGGGGAAUAUUGCACAAUGGGGGAAACCCCGAUGCAGCAACGCCGCGUGAGUGAAGAAGUAUUUCGGUAUGUAAAGCUCUAUCAGCAGGGAAGAAGAAAGACGGUACCUGACUAAGAAGCCCCGGCUAACUACGUGCCAGCAGCCGCGGUAAUACGUAGGGGGCAAGCGUUAUCCGGAUUUACUGGGUGUAAAGGGAGCGUAGACGGCAUAGCAAGUCUGAAGUGAAAGCCCGUGGCUCAACCGCGGAACUGCUUUGGAAACUGUUAAGCU